rnacentral:misc_RNA from 1 species
GUAGGUGAACCUGCGGAAGGAUCAUUACCGAGAGUGUCCGUUAAUUCGGACUCCUCCCCACCCUUGUGUAUAUUCGCUGAAAAGCAGCUUCGGCGGGCCAGUUCUUUCGAUUCGGAAAACCGGAGCGUUUGGACGUCGGCCUCUUGUGCGGAUUCGCGCCCGCCGAAGGACCAACUCUUGACAACUUGAAGUCUGAUAACAAAACAAAAAAUAAAUCAAAACUUUCAACAACGGAUCUCUUGGUUCUG